rnacentral:tRNA from 2 species
GCGCCUGUAGCUCAGCUGGAUAGAGCGCUGCCCUCCGGAGGCAGAGGUCAGGGGUUCGAAUCCCUUCAGGCGCGCCA